GAAGAACGCUGGCGGCGUGCCUAAUACAUGCAAGUCGAGCGAACAGAUGAGGAGCUUGCUCCUCUGACGUUAGCGGCGGACGGGUGAGUAACACGUGGAUAACCUACCUAUAAGACUGGGAUAACUUCGGGAAACCGGAGCUAAUACCGGAUAAUAUAUUGAACCGCAUGGUUCAAUAGUGAAAGACGGUUUUGCUGUCACUUAUAGAUGGAUCCGCGCCGCAUUAGCUAGUUGGUAAGGUAACGGCUUACCAAGGCAACGAUGCGUAGCCGACCUGAGAGGGUGAUCGGCCACACUGGAACUGAGACACGGUCCAGACUCCUACGGGAGGCAGCAGUAGGGAAUCUUCCGCAAUGGGCGAAAGCCUGACGGAGCAACGCCGCGUGAGUGAUGAAGGUCUUCGGAUCGUAAAACUCUGUUAUUAGGGAAGAACAAAUGUGUAAGUAACUAUGCACGUCUUGACGGUACCUAAUCAGAAAGCCACGGCUAACUACGUG
rnacentral:rRNA from 1 species